CCUACGGGAGACAGCAGUGAGGAAUAUUGGUCAAUGGGCGGAAGCCUGAACCAGCCAAGUAGCGUGCAGGAUGACGGCCCUACGGGUUGUAAACUGCUUUUAUACGGGAAUAACGCGCCUUACGUGUAGGGCUUUGCAUGUACCGUAUGAAUAAGGACCGGCUAAUUCCGUGCCAGCAGGCGCGGUAAUACGGAGGGUCCGGCCGUUAUCCGGAUUUAUUGGGUUUAAAGGGAGCGUAGGCCGCAUGUCAAGCGUGCUGUGAAAUGUCCGGGCUCAACCCGGGCCUUGCAGCGAGAACUGGCGUGCUUGAGUCCGCGGAAAGCAGGCGGAAUUCGUCGUGUAGCGGUGAAAUGCUUAGAUAUGACGAAGAACCCCGAUUGCGAAGGCAGCUUGCUGCAGCGGAACUGACGCUGAUGCUCGAAAGCGCGGGUAUCGAACAGGAUUAGAUACCCCUGUAGUC
rnacentral:rRNA from 1 species